CGCACCCGAAAAACCCACCCGACACCAAACGCGGCUCCUCUCGACCCCUCGAGAGUAAACGCCGCCGCCGUCCUCUUCCUGACGCAACUGCAGGUCACAGCGCCACCGCCAACGUCCGAGAGUAGCCGCCGCGCCUGAGGACCGAGAGGAGCCGCCACCGAGAUCCGAGACUAGCCGCUGCGGCUGAGGACCGAGAGGAGCCGCCGCCUCCAGGUUGCGACUGUGACACACCGCCGCCUCCAGGUCGCCGCCGAGGUCCGCAAUCGCCGAAGCCGGCCGGCCCUCACCUCCAUCGACCUCCUCUCGGAUGGAUCCUGCACGUCGCUAGAUCGACGGAAGGGGACCUCCACCACCGCCGUUCUUCUCCCUCCCCGACCUCCCGUCACCGUGCUCCCCGGAUCUGGCCGUGGCCACAACCGGCGGAGCUUCCCGGCCACCGCCGACGACGCCAGCGAGGUAGCCACAGUCGUUGCUGCCAGAUCCAUGGAGGAGUGUACCCCGGCCUUCUCCUCGUUUUCCUCUUGUUGUAUGCCUUUAUUAAUAUUGCUAUGCGUUAUCACUAACACAUUGGCAAUGCAACACCUUCUGGAGAUAGCAUUGACGGUAGUACACAUGUUUUGUACUGUAAGCCAUUGCAUUUACCUAUAGGAAUAUGCAACUCACAGUUCUCUCUGUAUGUUUUCGGUACAUGUUCGGAAUAUCUGCUACUAGGUGCAUACAAGAUGAAUCUUCAAGACAUGCUAUCUUGCUUCGUAAGUACUGCUAUUUAAGGGCCGCUGCUGCCGCCGUCCGUAUCAACGCAUAGGCCGCUUGCCCAGCUCCCUCAUUCCGAGCACGACACCACGCGUCGGAGCUUGUCGGGAGGCACGGAAGGACGAACAGAGUUCUACCGGUGAUCCGUGUUGUCGCUGACGGUGUCAUAGGAUCUGCGGUGCACGUGGACAAGGCGAUGGGGCUGCCAACCUACCUCCUCUUCACCACAGUGCAUGUGGAUUCUUGGGCUACCACAACUUGGAUCAGCUUUUUCAAGAGGGGAUGCUUGCCAUUCAGAGACGGGCGUUUCGCAGUGUUCAAAAUAAUACUUUGCAAGGGACAGGAGCGCGAUGUCAAGCAGCAGCAGCAGGUUCUGCAGCUGACGACCCUGGUGAGUCCACGGUCGUGCUCAACUCCCGCCAGCAGGGCGCGAAGGAGUUUCCCCUUGAACCCCAUGACCUGAUUCUCAGGUUCGUAAUUUAGCCUAUUUUUGGCUGUUGAUCACUCCUUUGUUUCUUUGUACAUGUUCUGAUUAAUGGUGCUUUGGAACAGUUCAACAUGUAGUUUUUGAUGGGAUUUAGUAUUUUUGGGCUGUUGAGAUGGAACAGUUCAACGCGGUCGUAAUUUUGGGCUGUUGAGGUGGGAUUUAGUACAAAUCCGGGGAGCUGAAGCUUAAGAAGUUACAGAAUGAGUUUGCCUCGUUUUUCACUCUAUAUAUUGAUUUUAUUGACUACAAAGAUUUUGUAUUUUCCAUCGUCAAAACAGGCUGCACUUUCCUAAAUUUUAUGACUAAUGGAGGUGUAUGGUGCAAUCUAAGCUGGAGUACAACUUGUAUGCUUAUUUAUAUCCCUCCUGUUGCUAAUACGCAGGAAGAUAUUUAUCAUAUAUUUUUGUUGCCUCAUAGAAAAAUGAACCUAAUGUUCUUCCCUGAUAUACUAUUAGUCACGGUGUUGGCUAUUGUUAUUUGAAGUAUAGAUUGAAAUGCUUCAGAUAUUGUGCCUCAUGAAAGAACACACUUAUGUUAUGAAAUCAAACUUUCCAGUUUCUAAAAAGAUUAAGUGUCUGUUGGCUGCUAAUAAUUUUGUUUAUAAUAAAUUAUAUUCUUGUUUAUUAUAUAUGCAGGUUGAUUUGAACAAUGUAUAAGGUCGCCACUGCUGGCCGAGUUGGAUACCCAUUUGUGGUCCUUUUUUCCUUGUUCUUGUUGUAUAGAUGACAGUUCAUGGAUUUCUGAUAUGAUUGCUUCAGUGAUGAUUUUUGCAGAACCACAUGCCGAUGGUGCACUUGCCUUUGGAAUUAAAGAUCAGCUUACUACACUAACCAGAUAUCAUAUAUAAAUACUCUACUCUACAGCAGUAUGAAGGGAUUUCAGGGCUAGCAAAUAUGUUAAAGAUAGAUACAGAGAAAGGCGAUUAGGGGAGUGGAUUCCGAUAAUGAUGCGAAAAAAAUUCCUUUGGGUCGAACACAUACUCUUGAAAGAAAGCAAGAAGCUUCUUGGUAAUGGAGAUGGUUCUCUUAUAUUUGGUAGGAGUCAGAAAAAAUCCAGCAUGGAAAAACACCAUAUUCAACAUGGUGUAAUUAUGAUGAUCUAAACGAGUAUUCCUGGACUUCUGAUUGUUUCUCACUGCCAUGACCAAUACGGGAUGAUGGUGGCUUCUUCAAAUAUGUGCAAGAUAUGUCCUCUUUAGCAUCACUGGAUUUUUGAAAACGUUAUAUCUGAAUUUAGAGUGCACUUCUGCAAAAAAGAUUUUGUCCUGAUUACUAUUUCGAUUUUAUUUCUGUAGGCACUAUGAAAUGAUCGAAUGCCGCUAAUCAUUUUGGAGGUUUGUUGUAGGGUGCUCUACCAGGUCAUAAUAUGCACCCACACAAUUCAAGUUCAUAUUCUGGAAGGACAUUGACCAACGAACCUUGUAGUAAUGUUACAGGUCAUAAAAUUGUGUAUUCCUACGAACCAUCAUUGCAUGUGUGCAGUGGUUAGAGAUUUUGUAGUGGAUAAUCAAUUAUCUUUAUCUGCUUCUAACUCAAGGAAUCAUACUGCAACAUUUCCUCCAGUGCAGGCAAACUCAAAUGAUAGUUAGUAAACUUGGUUAGUAAUAUUUUUUGUUUUCUUACCUUGCAUUUGUGAUACGUCACUGAACAUGUUUAUUAGUUUGUCACGUCACUCCUGCUUGACAUGCCAAUUCACAAAGGGCAGCCCGGUGCACAUCGCUCCCGCUUGCGCAGGGUCCGGGGAACGGUCCGACCACUUGACAUGCCAAUUCACAAAAAUGAAAGAAAUCCAGAUGACCUGUGAACCUCCCUGUUGACAUAAAAUUAAUGUUGUUUUAUGUCUAAGCCUCAUCUAUCAUAUACAUGUACAGUUACGGUGGUGGAUUUCAAUUCCUGUAACUUAGUUUUCUUACGAGAUGUAACUCAUCUACUAAUAUAUAGUAGUAUGUAUAAAGUUUCUUAAUCAAGCUAGCCUAAUGGACGGCACCAUACUUAGCCAAGCUAAUAGACGACCCAUGCCCAGUACAAUUUUUUCAACUGCUGUAUAAUGGUAUUAUGAUUUCGUGCUCUUUUUCAGAAAAUCUGGGUGAUGAAGCUGACUCAAUAGAUCCAGAUUUUGGCCGCUAAAGCUGGUAGUGCAUCCUUGUCUAUGGUGUGGACAGAGGGAGAAAGGAGGCAAUUAACUACAGUCUGAAUGUAAAAUAAAAUUGUCUAAAUUAAAAUAGAAUCUGAUAAAACAAAACAAAGGAGGUCAUUAACUAGAGAAUUAGGCUGGACUAGAUAUACAUAUUAUACUGUAUUUUCCCACUAAAAACAUCCAGCGGGGAGGCUGAUGCAGCACUAUCACGAAUUGUUCCAGCUCUUCCUGAAUCGAUAUGGUUUGUCGAUGUUGGGAUCCUCGAUGGUGAUUAGCAACUGAAUCGUGGUAAUCAUCGACACUUCUCUCCCACAGCCAACUCCCUUUGAUCUGGCCCAUCAUUUUAUAUUGCUCCUCUUCCUGUUUGUUUGGAUAAAGUUAGUCUUUCAUAUCUUUUUUACCUGUUUGAUAUGUCCUUGCACUAAUUUUGAUCAGUGUGCUAUUAGAUUUCUACAGCUAGAACAAAGUGUAUGUGUAUUCUGAAUCCGGGUGCGUUGACGUUCUGUUGCUUGAAGUGAUGUUUUCUUGGUGACGAUGUAGGAUGGAAGUACACUUUACUUCAAAGGAUUGCACACAUAUGAAGCGGUUGUUGAUGAAGUCAUGGAAAAGGGACUUGCCAAUGCUACACAGUCAUGAAAUCUUUGUCUGUUUCACUCUUCUUCCAUACAUGAUAUGCAAGGUUCUUGGGAUGCUCGGUACUGUUGCCAGGAGUGCUGAAGCACAAAAUACAAGGGGGUGCAUGAGGAGGCGAGAGCUGACGGCAACCAUUGGAGGAGGUCUGGUCGGUCGAAGAGUAAGGCGUGGGCAACUCCGGAGAGAUUUGGCUUGAGCAAAUGUCGAUGCUGCUGCAAUGAGAAGACCCUUUCUGCAUGUAAUUCAGGCAAUAGCUGAGCUCCCAGCCUCCUAAGACUGGCAUGGGCACAUCAAUAAGGGCAUGGAGCCCAUCAAAGAGGAGGUCGGAGCGGCGUUGGACCUGGAUCAACUCAUCUAAAUCAAGCGGCCGGCCUCGGCUGGGAGUCACCAACGCUCCACCUGGACGGCGUCGGCUGGGACAGCUCCACAUGCAAUGGCUGGCCGGGGACCAGACCUCGACAGGAACGUGUUGCCCUUUGAGCCGGUGCAGAGCGACAAGUUCGUAGCAUCGUUAUAGUUUUUUGCACAAAGAUAGACCCUGUAGUACUGAUCAGGUGAAACAGAUCGAUGUGGCACUGGUACUGAACUGAAGCAACAAUUUGUUCAACAAAAUAUGAUCCAAAUAGAGCGCAUAUUAGUUUCUAUAACAAGGAUCGUCGCCGGUUUUGUGCCA